rnacentral:rRNA from 1 species
CAGCAGCCGCGGUAAUACGUAGGGUGCGAGCGUUAAUCGGAAUUACUGGGCGUAAAGCGUGCGCAGGCGGUUCGUUAAGACAGAUGUGAAAUCCCCGGGCUUAACCUGGGAACUGCAUUUGUGACUGGCGAGCUAGAGUAUGGCAGAGGGGGGUAGAAUUCCACGUGUAGCAGUGAAAUGCGUAGAGAUGUGGAGGAAUACCGAUGGCGAAGGCAGCCCCCUGGGCCAAUACUGACGCUCAUGCACGAAAGCGUGGGGAGCAAACAGGAUUAGAUACCCGGGUAGUCCCUGUCUCUUAUAA